rnacentral:rRNA from 1 species
CCUACUAAAUAGUGCUGCUAGCUUUUGCUGGUAUAGUCACUUCUUAGAGGGACUAUCGAUUUCAAGUCGAUGGAAGUUUGAGGCAAUAACAGGUCUGUGAUGCCCUUAGACGUUCUGGGCCGCACGCGCGCUACACUGACGGAGCCAACGAGUAUUAACCUUGGCCGAGAGGUCUGGGAAAUCUUGUGAAACUCCGUCGUGCUGGGGAUAGAGCAUCGUAAUUAUUGCUCUUCAACGAGGAAUUCUUAGUAAGCACAGUCCCUCUGAGAAGUGACUUACCA